GGGAAGAAAAGCCCUGGGUUAAUACCCUGGGGUCAUGACGGUACCGUAAGAGUAAGCACCGGCUAACUUCGUGCCAGCAGCCGCGGUAAUACGAAGGGUGCAAGCGUUACUCGGAAUUACUGGGCGUAAAGCGUGCGUAGGUGGUUGUGCAAGACAUAUGUGAAAUCCCCGGGCUCAACCUGGGAAUUGCAUUUGUGACUGCACGGCUAGAGUGUGUCAGAGGGGGGUAGAAUUCGGCGUGUACCACUGAAAUGCGUAUAGAUGUGGAGGAAUAGCGAUGGCGAAGGCAGCCCCCUGGGAUAACACUGACGCUCAUGCAGAAAAGCGUGGGGAGCAAACAUGAUUAGAUACGCUGGUAGUCCACGCCCUAAACGAUGUCUACUAGUU
rnacentral:rRNA from 1 species